GCCCCGUUAGCCCAAAUGGUAGAGGCGUUUGGCCAAGGACCAAAACAGUGUGGGUUCGAAUCCCAUGCGGGGUA
rnacentral:tRNA from 1 species